rnacentral:rRNA from 1 species
UACAGAGGUCUCAAGCGUUGUUCGGAUUCAUUGGGCGUAAAGCGCGCGUAGGCGGCUCCGCAAGUCGGCCGUGAAAUCUCCGGGCUCAACUCGGAGGGGUCGGGCGAGACUGCGGGGCUCGAGGUGGGCAGAGGGCAGUGGAAUUCCGGGUGUAGUGGUGGAAUGCGUAGAGAUCCGGAGGAACACCAGUGGCGAAGGCGGCUGCCUGGGCCUGGCCUGACGCUGAGGCGCGAAAGCGUGGGGAGCAAUCCGG